GUAUAUGUGGGCUUUCCCCGUUCUCUCUCUCUCUCACUCACAUACAUACACACAUCUCAACCUCCUCCUCCUUUUCCACAUCCGGGGUCACGCGGCUUUCGCUUCCUGCUGCGGUUUGUUUGUUUGUUUGUUGUUUGUUUUUUCGGGGUGGGGAGGGGAGAGGAAAGAGCCUUGGAGACAAGACAGACAGACAGACAGAAAGAGACGGAAGGAAGGAAGGACCCGAAUGAGGGACCCAACCGCCGCCUGGUCGCGAGCGCGCGCGCGUCACCGUGGCUCCGUCAACUGAAGGAGGAGGCGCAGAGAGAGGGAGACUGAGAAAGCUCGCGCCUCCUUUUCUGACAGAGGAAAGCCGAGCGGGUGAGGGAGCGCGAGCGCGAGCGGGCACGCGCCGCUGGAAUUUUCAAAGAGGGAGGGAGGGAGGGGGGCGACGGGCGACCCAAACUGCCGGCGGCGGCGGGGCCUGUCUUCGGGGCUUCGGUUUCCGUUGGCCUCGGCGCCCCUCGCCCGGUUCGCUCCUUCGCCUCAGGCUCCGGUCCACGCGGGGAAAGACGGAGGUUGGUACCUUGAUUAGACACUUGACCUUCAGUCAGCUCUGCUAAUCUUGGAAAUAAAUAUGUUCAAAAUGAUAAUAAGUUUAGAUCCUUGCAGUGAAGAUUCAUACAGAAUGAAUUCCCAGAGUUGAAAAACAGUUCGUGUAAAGAAGACCGUAGCAAUGUUUCUAGAUUAUAUGAAAGAUCCACAUCUUGGUACUUCACAACAUACAGAUAACAGAACAUCCAAUAAUGUGAUCAUCAUGUGAAACAGAAGCCUGUGUAGGAUCUGCUGAUCCAAGAGAAUAAGAGGUUGCAGGUUUUCCUGCAGGAAUCUACAAACAUAGUCUUUUGAUAAUCUCAAGAGAAGGUACCUAAUAAAAAUGCCUCCAAGGCCAUCAUCCGGUGAACUGUGGGGCAUCCAUUUGAUGCCACCAAGAAUCCUAGUAGAAUGUCUUCUACCUAAUGGCAUGAUAGUGACUUUAGAAUGCCUCCGUGAGGCCACCUUGUUAAAUAUUAAGCACGAACUUUUUAAAGAAGCUCGGAAAUACCCUCUCUAUCAGCUCCUUCAAGAUGAGUCCUCUUACAUUUUCGUAAGUGUUACACAAGAAGCAGAAAGGGAAGAAUUUUUCGAUGAAACACGGCGACUUUGUGAUCUACGACUCUUCCAGCCUUUUCUAAAAGUCAUAGAGCCAGUAGGCAACAGAGAAGAGAAAAUUCUGAAUCGGGAAAUUGGUUUUGCUAUUGGCAUGCCUAUCUGUGAAUUUGACUUGGUUAAGGAUCCAGAAGUUCAGGACUUCAGAAGAAACAUUCUUAAUGUUUGUAAAGAAGCAGUAGAUCUGCGAGAUGCUAACGCACCCCAUAGCAGAGCAUUGUAUGUCUGUCCCCCAAACAUAGAAUCUUCGCCCGAGCUGCCCAAGCAUAUAUACAAUAAACUUGAUAAAGGACAAAUAAUAGUGGUGAUAUGGGUAAUAGUCUCCCCCAACAAUGACAAGCAGAAGUACACUUUAAAAAUCAAUCACGAUUAUGUGCCAGAACAAGUCAUCGCUGAAGCAAUCAGGAAAAAAACACGAAGUAUGUUGCUGUCAUCUGAACAGCUAAAGCUCUGUGUGUUAGAGUACCAGGGGAAGUAUAUUUUAAAAGUAUGUGGUUGUGAUGAAUAUUUACUAGAAAAACAUCCCCUGAGUCAAUACAAGUACAUCCGGAGUUGUAUCAUGCUUGGUCGAAUGCCCAAUUUGAUGCUGAUGGCUAAGGAAAGUCUUUACACCCAGCUGCCAUUGGAUACCUUUACAAUGCCAUCUUAUUCUAGGCGUAUUUCUACAGCUACACCAUACAUGAAUGGAGAAGCUUCAGCCAAAUCCCUCUGGGCUAUUAACAGUAAUCUCAGAAUAAAGAUUCUCUGUGCUACCUAUGUAAAUGUAAAUAUUCGAGAUAUUGACAAGAUUUAUGUCCGAACUGGCAUCUAUCAUGGAGGAGAGCCAUUAUGUGAUAAUGUGAAUACUCAGAGAGUACCUUGUUCCAAUCCCAGGUGGAAUGAGUGGCUGCAGUAUGAGAUGCACGUUCUUGAUCUUCCACGUGCGGCUCGGCUUUGCCUUUCUAUCUGCUCCGUUAAAGGGAGGAAAGGUGCAAAGGAGGAGCACUGUCCAUUGGCGUGGGGGAAUAUUAACAUGUUUGAUUACACAGACACUCUUGUUUCUGGCAAAAUGGCUCUGAAUCUGUGGCCUGUACCCCAUGGGUUGGAAGACCUGCUAAAUCCCAUUGGAGUCACUGGAUCAAAUCCCAAUAAGGAAACUCCUUGUUUAGAGCUGGAAUUUGAUUGGUUUAGCAGUCCUGUUAAGUUUCCCGACAUGUCUGUAAUUGAAGACCAUGCCAAUUGGACUAUAUCUCGAGAACUAGGGUUUAACUACAGUCAUGCAGGACUGAGUAAUAGACUAGCACGAGAUAAUGAAUUAAGAGAUUGUGACAAAGAGCAGCUGCGUUCAAUCUGCACUCGAGACCCACUGUCUGAAAUAACUGAACAAGAAAAGGAUUUCCUUUGGAGCCACAGGCAUUACUGUGUAAAUACGCCAGAAAUCCUACCUAAAUUGCUUUUGUCUGUCAAAUGGAACUCUAGAGAUGAAGUAGCCCAGAUGUACUGCUUGAUAAAAGACUGGCCUCCCAUCAAGCCUGAACAGGCGAUGGAGCUUUUGGACUGCAAUUACCCAGAUCCGAUGGUGCGAGCGUUUGCAAUUCGAUGUCUAGAAAAAUAUCUGACAGAUGACAAACUCUCUCAGUAUUUGAUUCAGCUGGUACAGGUUCUGAAAUACGAGCAGUACUUGGAUAAUCUGCUCGUGAGAUUUUUACUGAAGAAGGCACUGACCAAUCAAAGAAUAGGACAUUUCUUCUUUUGGCAUUUAAAGUCUGAAAUGCACAACAAAAAUGUGAGCCAGAGGUUUGGUCUGCUUUUGGAGUCAUAUUGCCGAGCAUGUGGGAUGUACCUUAAACACUUGAGCAGGCAGGUAGAAGCUAUGGAAAAACUUAUUAACCUCACAGACAUCCUUAAACAGGAGAAAAAGGAUGAAACCCAAAAGGUACAGAUGAAAUUCCUUGUGGAGCAAAUGAGGCGGCCAGACUUCAUGGAUGCACUGCAAGGCUUUAUAUCUCCUCUCAAUCCUGCUCAUCAGCUUGGAAAUCUUAGGCUUGAGGAGUGCAGGAUUAUGUCAUCUGCUAAAAGGCCACUUUGGCUUAAUUGGGAAAACCCAGAUAUCAUGUCUGAGCUGCUGUUUCAGAAUAAUGAAAUCAUCUUUAAAAAUGGAGAUGAUCUACGUCAGGAUAUGUUGACACUUCAAAUCAUAAGAAUCAUGGAAAACAUCUGGCAAAACCAAGGGCUUGAUCUUAGGAUGCUGCCUUAUGGUUGUUUAUCUAUUGGCGACUGUGUGGGGCUCAUUGAGGUUGUGAGAAAUUCACACACAAUCAUGCAGAUCCAGUGCAAAGGUGGCCUUAAAGGAGCACUGCAAUUCAACAGCCAUACGUUACAUCAGUGGCUCAAAGACAAGAACAAAGGGGAAAUGUAUGAUGCAGCUAUUGAUUUGUUUACACGCUCUUGUGCUGGCUAUUGUGUGGCUACUUUCAUACUGGGAAUUGGAGAUCGUCACAAUAGCAAUAUCAUGGUGAAAGAUGAUGGGCAGCUGUUUCACAUUGAUUUCGGACACUUCUUGGAUCACAAAAAGAAGAAGUUUGGCUAUAAACGAGAGCGUGUGCCGUUUGUCUUAACGCAAGAUUUCUUGAUAGUGAUUAGUAAAGGAGCCCAAGAAUGUACCAAAACAAGGGAAUUUGAAAGGUUCCAAGAAAUGUGUUAUAAAGCUUAUCUAGCAAUCCGGCAGCAUGCCAAUCUUUUCAUAAACCUCUUCUCCAUGAUGCUUGGUUCUGGGAUGCCAGAACUACAGUCUUUUGAUGACAUUGCAUAUAUUCGCAAGACUCUUGCAUUGGACAAAACAGAGCAGGAAGCACUGGAGUAUUUCAUGAAACAGAUGAAUGAUGCUCAUCAUGGUGGCUGGACAACAAAAAUGGACUGGAUCUUUCAUACAAUCAAGCAACAUGCCUUGAACUGAAACAAAAAUGAAUGUGCUGAAAAACUGAUAACCCAUUUUGUGGCUGUUUCACUGCACUGUUGGCAGUAAAGUUUGGUUGCAUCUUAAUUGCACAAACCAUAAACAGCAUUUGAACUUGCAGCAAGAUUAAAAAACAACAACCUCAAAGCUAUUUAAAUACGUUAAACAGGGUUUCGGAACACUACAGACUGUGUAUUACAAAUACAACUUUUCCUGUAUGUACAGUCAUGUUAUGCCUUAAGUCCAGGAAGGUAUACUUCAGAGAUUUGUUUGAUUGAUUGGGGAAUCUGUGCCGAGCAUUAAAACCAGUCGUUCACAUGUUCCAGUUGGUCUGGUGUAAAUUGGGCCCAUGUAGGUUUGCAAAAGAAGGAAAGCUUAGCAAUAUUAAUUGCUCCUAAGAGUUUUCCUCUCCCAUGAACUUCAGUCAGUAAAUUAGAGAAGAUCGUGCCUUCAUAAUGUCAGAUAUAACUGGUGGAUUUUAGAGUAGCAAUUUUCUCAGUUUUUAUUUGACUAUUUCAAACAAGUUAUUAGGUGUAGAUCUUAAGAUUCUGCUGGACAGUAUUAGUAGGGUUUCAAUGAUUACCUCUCCCACCACCUCAAAAGUCUGGCUAGUGGGGAGGAUUGGGUUUAGUGCAACACUUUCAGAUUUGAUUUUUUUUUUCUAACCUAAACCUCAGUACAUUUUUUCAUGCAUGUUUUUCAGAACCUAAAAAGAGGUGAGUUAUUAGAAUUAAAGAUUAUUUUUAUAAAGGUUAUUUAUAUAACAGAAGCUAUUAAUAUAUAAUACUUCCUUACAUUGAUUUGUCCAGUUUUGUCAUUUUAAUUCUGUAGAUCAUUUCUCAUUCUAAGAGCCUACUUGUAUAAGCCGCUAGGCUGAUGUUGUGGUUUGUAGGAUCAUAUUUAAAGAUCCUUGUGCUGGUCUGGGGCAUGAGUUGUCCAUGUGUUCUUAGACGUGACUCUAAAGCCCUACACCAAGUUCACCUCUGGCAGGAAGGGAUUAGGAACUUUCCAACAGGAAGCUUGGUAGAGCAGCAUAGGUACACCCCACUAUUUAGUACGCUGCUUAGGUGCAUCAGCACAAACUUCUAUUCCUGUGGUUGACCCUCUAUGACAAGGCUAAUUUGUUUGCUUGGAAGCGUUUUUCUGUUGAAAUCUGUGGGAUCCUUUUCCAAGUAUCACACUUUAAAGACUAGAAUGUCCAACUCCAUUGUCUAUAGCUUUCUCAAAUUUUGAUAGUGAGUUUAAGUCAAGCAACAAACCCUUGCUGAAAUUCAAAUUUCACUUGGCAGAUCAAUGGUAAUCCUUGGCGUGGGACCAGGUAGAUCAGUGGGAAUGCAAAGACUUUGACUUUGCCUAAGUGCUCCCAAGGAGCAACAUUCUCUUGCAAAACCUCUUUGAUUGGCUUUCAGUACAAUGCUCUUCAGCAUAAUCAGAAGAGAGACUUGCAUGAUUUGGGCAAUGAGGGGAGGGGAAGAUGAGUACCCUUCACCCUCUGCUUUUUCACCCAGUGCUGGCACACACAGAUUAAGAUCAGUUAUUGGAAAAGCUUUUGCUUCCACUAGUAACUGUUUUUACUUCCAACGGAAGUAUAAGCAGAAAGUUUUUCCUUCCAGUGGAAGUAUAAACAGAACGAUAACUUGUAACAAAUGCUUCCAGUGCCAAUGUCAGCUCUGGGAUUUUAGGGUGGAAUGAGGCCCCACAUGUCUUCCUUCAAAUACUAUCUCAGGCAAUACUCUUCAAAUGAUAUGCUGGGCAUUUUGUUAAUCCUGGACUUUGGAGUCCAUCUCUGUCUUAGCCCUCUUUCUUGGACUGUUAAACAGAAGCUGCUUAAUUGCAGUAACUAACAUACUAGAAAAUCACUGUAUUUUCAAUCCGAUCAUUAAAUGGUCCUUUGUACUGCAAAAGAGACAAUAGUCCAUAGCAUGCAGAGCUAGCAACCAAUAUUUUAUACGUGUGUGUGUGUGUGUGUGUGUGUGUGUACAUACAUACAUAUAUAUAUACAUAUAUAUAUAUAUCUGUAUAUAUCUGUCUUUAAAACAACAAAACUGAUACAACUAGCAGAACCAUUGGUACAACGUAUUCCAAAAUGUCUUUUUUAAUAAGGCCAGGUAUUUUGAGCCCGGGAUAUGUAAGGUGCCAUUUCUUCCAUAUUAAUGUUAUUGUCUCACAGCAUCUGAAAAUGUUUCAGAAAUUUGGAUAUUUGAGUUCACUUGCCUUUUCUUCUGUCCUUCAAAUCUAGGUAUUACUUGGAGUGCAAUACCAUUUUGAACAUAAUUUGCUGACGUUAGGUCAUUAUAAAUAAAUUUGUAUAGACUUAAUGGACAAGAGGCUAUGUUUCUUCAGCAAGAUAAAUAUUAAGUAGGCUGCUUGUUGUUGUUGAACUUGAAAGGGGAAAAAACCACCCACCAUGCCGAGUGUUUUAUUUUUGUGGAUACAGAUUUGCAGCUGCAGAGGUAACAUAACUGUUACCAGGCUGCCCUGGUAAAAAUUACAAAUACACUCUUCUUGAAAACUAAUAUCUAUACAAAUAAUGCCAAGUGGGUUUGUAGAAUGAAAGCCAAGGCUAGACUGGUGGAAAUAGGGACAUAUGAAUUGUCUGAGUUGAGGUGGAGAGAAGACUGUUAGCCAAAAGUCUCACUGGUUCCCAGCCAAUGUGCUUGUUUUCUUCUCUAUGUUGUCUUGUAUAUUAUUGUCAUAGAUAGAUAAUGAAUGAAUGACUCUUAGGCUGUAGUCAACAGUUUUGCAGCUUUUGGUCUGCUCACUUGGGAAUAAUGAUAAACUUAAUACUGUGAUAUUUUUAUAAGAACAUAGACCCUAUCUUAUAACAAGUCAGUCAAUGGAUCCACCUAAUUCAUUAAUUUUUAUGCAAAUAGGCAGCCUGUCCAGGAUUUUUUUAAUUGUCCUUUCUUGAAACACCAGGGGUUGAACCUGCAAACUUUUGCAGUCAAAGCAUGUGCUCUACCACUGAGCAGUGACCCUUUCGUAAUCCAUAUCCUAUUCCUUUAGCAAUUGUAAUACAUGUAUAUUUUACCAUACAGAAUAUCAUCAUCUUUAGUUGUGUUCUAGUUCUCCACACUUAAAAAGGUCAAUGAGAAAUCUUGACUGGUUACAGAAGCAUGUGGCAUCAUUUCUGGCAAGCUUUUGUUGUGUUCAGGUGGGUGGUUGCAGAUUCUACCUUUCAAGACUAUGAAGAUUAAGGUUGGGUUUUUUUGCGGGGAGGGGAGAAUGCAUAAUGUCUGCUGAAGACUUAAACCAUUUCAAGGCUUCAAGUGCUGACCACCUAAUUCCUGGCUCUAUGGUGCCAGCAAGCAGAAGUAGUUAGGAAGGGUAUAUACAACUGUUAAAAUCUGCUGUUCUAUUGAUACUUCUGUGGUUGACUUUGGGCCUUGAAUACUGGUAUAAUGGUCUAAAGAUUCAAAAUUGGGUUUAGUAAGUACAAAUUCAAACAACUUUUACUCUUUAAACACCUUGAAAGAAACCGGCUUUCUGGGAGUGAUACUUUGAAAAGUGAGGGGCUGUUCCCCAACUAAUGAUGUUAUUUCCCUGUCUUUUGCUUCCCUUUUUCUGAAGAUGCUCCUACCACAGCUUCAGUCCACCCACUAAAAUUGCUUGGGGACCAAUUCUCUUGCCAUGAAUACCACCUGCUGCACUUCUUCCCUGGCUUGGGCAAGUGGACAACCAACUGAUAGCCCGCAAAGGGCUGGCCCCUGGCCCAGGGGUCUCCAGUUGUUGACCUGACUAGUAGCCGAAGGACGGUCUUGUGGUGGGACUUGAAAAAAGCAGAGGAAGCUAGCCAGAACAACAGAAUAGGUUUAGAGGUGUGGCCAUGGAAGAGUUAAAAGGGAAUUGCAGAAGAAUAUGAAUGAUCUGAAAGGGGGGGGGAUAGCAUAAGUGAAGAGAGAAAUAAAUGGCUAUGCUGCUUUUUGGCCAAGAACUCUCAAACCACUGCCCUGCAAUCUUGAUGGCUAAGAUUUUAAUAAUAACAAUGUAUGUGCAUGGUUACAUAUAGGGGGUUAGGGGAGGGGUAGUACAUCUGGUGGAGGACACAUUAUGCUACUUCUGGGGUAGUUUACCCACCUUUGGCCCGCAGCCUGCACUCUCCUAUCACCUGUGGCUUCUAGAAGCUAUCAGCAUGUAACAGCAGCCACCUGAACAACAGAUUGAGCAGACCCACAGCUCACCUGAUCACCAUCUUUGUCACUAUAGUGAGAUGCAUUGUAUUUCUAUUUGAAUUUUAAUAAAUGUUUCUAAAUUUG